CCCUGUUCACAAUACUCAUUCUUACCUCACUAGACAAGUGUCACAGCAGUAAUGAAGAUCAGAAGCCUCACAGUGGAGGUUCUUGCUUAACAGCUAGCAACGUCUUCCAGUCCCAUGGAGAGCCAACUGGGUCAACGCAAUGUAUUCUAACACAGAAAGAAAGGAGAAGUUCAGAGAAAGUGGAAUGAGCCUCCAAGACUGAAAACAUCCCAAUCUUCUUUUGCUCCAGCUCUUCCUUGGUUUCUUCAACCAAUGAGUGCUUUGCUACCCUCAAAAUCCAUGGAGAAGAUGCCUUGACUUCUCUUUCUCAGAAAGCUUCUGUCUUCUGCACCCUCUGCUAUGAAAUC
rnacentral:lncRNA from 1 species